GAUGAACGCUAGCGAUAGGCCUAACACAUGCAAGUCGAGGGGCAUCACAUGAAGUAGCAAUACGGAUGGUGGCGACCGGCGCACGGGUGAGUAACACGUAUGCAACCUGCCUUCAACAAGGGGAUAACCCGUUGAAAGACGGACUAAUACUCCAUAACACAGGGGUCCCGCAUGGGAAUAUUUGUUAAAGAUUUAUCGGUUGAAGAUGGGCAUGCGUUCCAUUAGCUGGUUGGUGGGGUAACGGCCCACCAAGGCAACGAUGGAUAGGGGAACUGAGAGGUUUAUCCCCCACACUGGUACUGAGACACGGACCAGACUCCUACGGGAGGCAGCAGUGAGGAAUAUUGGUCAAUGGACGCAAGUCUGAACCAGCCACGUCGCGUGAAGGAAGACGGCCCUACGGGUUGUAAACUUCUUUUAUACGGGAAUAAAGUGCCCCACGUGUGGGUUUUGCAAGUACCGUAUGAAUAAGGAUCGGCUAACUCCGUGCCAGCAGCCGCGGUAAAUACGCAACGA
rnacentral:rRNA from 1 species